UUUGCGAGGCUCGUCUCAUUUUAUUAAUUAAAGAACUAACCUAAAGAAACUAUGAUUUUCUAUAUUUUUUGUUUCUAAGAAUAAAGAAAAAGAUGCCCUAAAUAAUUGGAGUUACUCAAACAAAACAUAUUAAUAAGGACCCUUUAGCAAUUCUGGGCUCAAGUAAUAGGCCCAAUCCCUGAUGAAUUGAAACCACCCAGCGAUUUGGGCCUUGAGAACAUAUUGCCCAGCCUGAGUUCCCAUUGCAUAACGUGAGCCCAACCUUGUGCUCAGAUUGGCCCGUUAGAAAAAAUCAGGCGAGAUCAAUAGCAGUAUUGACAUAUUCAUGUUAUAAUUUAGGGUCUAAGUUUAGGUGAACACACAUGUGAUGCACUUAACAUGCUGAGUUUGAAAUUCUACACUAAUUCUAUGCUAAUAACGUUCAGCCCAGUUUUGCUUCAGUUCCUGGCUAAUAAUACUUCCUAACUGAUGUUGUAAUUGACAUUUACUAAUUAUUCACAAUUAUUCAAAUAUCCAAUUAUCAACUAAAGAUGGAAGUCCAGAAUCAAUUUCCAAACUUAUGUCUUUUAACAUAGUUAAUCAACAAACUAUUCUAGGCUAAUUAGUGAUAAGCAAAUCCAACAGUCAAAUUACACGUCUAGCUCUAAACUAACUCACAAUUACAAUUACUAAAUACAAACAAUGUGACUCCAGGAUUACACUGCCAAUUAUUAAGAUGAGUGAGGACUGUGAAUCACAAUCGCUUUAUGCUUUGACUAACUUCUGAUUUUCAAAACUUAACUACACCAAAUGAAAUUAAACUACAACAUGUUUAACAAAUGAUCAAAUUUCCCAAACAGUCCAUGAGUUUGACAGUCCAAACAAAUCUAAAUCAUUGUAAAACAAUUUUAAUUAUAGUCCAAACUACUACAAUCAACUAUGGUAAAACACGGCAAUAACUUAAGCUUCCAAUGAAGUUAUACUUCUAUUUCACUUAAUUCCAACUGGAGAGCUACAUGAUUUGAGAUUAAGGACAUGUACCUAAUAUUUAAACCACAAAACAAAGAAGAAUUGGAAGUCAGCUGAAGCAACGCACGUGUAGCAGUAGCAGUAAGUAAUUUUCAGCAGUACAGAAUAACAAACAGCCCAAAAAAUAAAUCCAGAAAUUCUAGGAAGGUUCAGAACUCAAAUAAAACCAGCUGAUUAAACCAAAACACUUGAAAUGCACUUAGUUAUACUAGAAAGGCAUUAACACACUUUCACAUAACCAAAUCUCAAUAAAACACAAUCUAAUUAGACCCAAAAAUUGCUCGAAAUCACCUAGCAACCAUUCUAAACAUCAGCAAUCAAAGAGUGAACUAGAGGAUGUGAACUAAUAAUUAAAACAUCAAUAUCAGCCUACAAUUUCCAAUGCAACAAUGAUAUUUUUUGAUUUUUGAGUUUUUGUUUGUUUUUGGUUUUUUGAAAUUUGAAUUUCUACUCCAGAUCUGAAAAUUUGAGAGAGAGAGAGAGAGAGAGUUUUUUGAAGGAAUUAGAUGGCUGAAGACUUGCUAGAGAAGGCAAGUAACUUGCCUUUUAUAGGCACACAUGAAAGCCUCAAUCAGAUUUUCUGUUUUCUUUUUUAGUCCCUCUCAUUUUCCGUUUGAGUCCUUGAUUUCUUAACUUUUCACUCAAGUAACUACCUCUAUUAUGCUGAAACUUACACUAAAGUCCAAUUCUAGAAGGUCCUAUUGUGGUCUUCUACCUAUGCAAUACCUAUACUACCCUUAUUUUUGUUUAUAAAUUACUAUUCUUAACAAAACUACCUUUUUGCAUGCCUAAACUAACCCUGAAAAUUCCCUGAAAUUACUGACCAAUCAGACUCCUUUUACCUUUGUUAAUCUUCAACUAUGGUUAACUAAAAUGAUCUAACCUAUCCAGCAAUAAGCAAAGUAAUUCCCAAAAACUAUAAUAUUGAAUCCACUGAUACUAAUUGAAACUGAAAAUGAGUCAUCACUAGACUAAUUACACUAAGCAAUCAAAGAACAAAAACUAAUACUUGAGAUAACUAAUCAAGAGGUUAAAAUAAAUUGCAAUAAACAAUUACGAAUCAAUAAUCUAACACAGAAUCAGAAUGGAUUAAUAUGACGACUAAGAACAGUAUUUCCAAGAGAACCUUAGCGAAUAAACAAAACUUGAUUAAACCCUUAACAUGGCAUUCAAAAUAAAAUAGAACUAAACUAACUAACACCCCAAAUGCAUUCAAUUAGCAAGUUUAAAUAAAACUAAACUAGAAGCUAAACCUAUGACCAUAGAAGAAUGAAAUCAAAACUAGAGAAAACUUUAUUAAAUUCAGAUUAAAGCUUACUAACAACUAAGAUAAUAUCAAAAGAAAAGAGGGAAACAAACAGACGAACUCACUGAUGAAAAUUCCCAAACUGGUGAAUUCCUAGACUUGAAAUUAGUCCACUUCCGGUGAUACUUGAAUAUCAUUUCCGCUGAACUCUUCACGAAGAAGACGGGGGAUUAUCAUAAUGUCCAUUUAUCAAAGUUUUGGGAGAUUAGGAAUUUUGUCCGAAAAUUCGAUUUAAGAUUCGAGGUGCUUCAGGCAUAUUCCAAGAAAAAUAGUCAUGGAUUUGGAUAGGGGAAGGGGAGAAUGACCUAGGGUAUUAAUCUGGGCGAGUUUGGAUGAAAUUGCGUCGUGGACGGAAAAACUUCGAUGUGAUAUUCCAAGAUUUCGGCCAAGAUUUGAAGGAAAUGGAUGAUGGAUUAAAGGAUAGGAAGAGAAGAGGAGUAUAGGGUGUUAAUUUGGUGGCAUUCGUAGGUGGACCACCGUCGUGGGCGAAUUCCGGCAGCGGCAAGCGGUGGUGUUUCACAGAGGCUAAGUACGAGGAAGAUGAAGACUGUCUUAGGGUUUUUUUCUGAAAUUCAGACAGUUUAAAUUAAAUGAGGGAGAGAAUAGGGGCCCUUGGAUUAGGUAAAAAU
rnacentral:lncRNA from 1 species